UACGUAGGGUGCAGGCGUUAAUCGGAAUUACUGGGCGUAAAGCAUGCGCAGGCGGUUUGCUAAGACAGGUGUGAAAUCCCCGGGCUUAACCUGGGAACUGCGCUUGUAACUAGCAGGCUAGAGUGUGGCAGAGGGGGGUGGAAUUCCACGUGUAGCAGUGAAAUGCGUAGAGAUGUGGAGGAACACCGAUGGCGAAGGCAGCCCCCUGGGCUAACACUGACGCUCAUGCACGAAAGCGUGGGGAGCAAACAGG
rnacentral:rRNA from 1 species